CCUACGGGUGGCAGCAGUGGGGAAUAUUGGACAAUGGGCGCAAGCCUGAUCCAGCCAUGCCGCGUGUGUGAAGAAGGCCUUCGGGUUGUAAAGCACUUUUGUUCGGGAAGAAAAGCUUCGGGCUAAUACCCCGGGGUUCUGACGGUACCGAAAGAAUAAGCACCGGCUAACUUCGUGCCAGCAGCCGCGGUAAUACGAAGGGUGCAAGCGUUACUCGGAAUUACUGGGCGUAAAGCGUGCGUAGGUGGUUCGUUAAGUCUGCCGUGAAAGCCCCG
rnacentral:rRNA from 1 species